rnacentral:misc_RNA from 1 species
CACUAGCCCCGAUAGUAACGGUUACCCCACAGCAAGAGUUGGAGAGCGAGAAGGCCUGAGUAUUGGAGGGUGAUGGCGCGAGGAGUAUGAGUGGAUAGCGGGAAAAAGC